GCCUCCAUAGCUCAGUGGUGAGAGCACUGGUCUUGUAAACCAGGGGGUCGUGAGUUCGAUCCUCACUGGGGGCU
rnacentral:tRNA from 1 species